UGGUAGUGAGGAAGAUUAUUGGAAUUGAAAUAAGAUUAUGAUGUUGAUGAAUGAUGAAUGAUGAGUGAUGAAUGAUGAUGGCCGUUGCUGAUCUUGAUGAUGGUGAGGCUUGAUGUAUGAGUGAGAGUGCCUGAGAAGGAUGCUGAUAGAAGGAGAAAGAUAAAAACGGUCGAGAGGACAUGACAAAAGAAGAAGAAGAAGAAGAAGAAGAAGAAGAAGAAGAAGAAGAAGAAGAAGAAGAAGAAGAAGAAGAAGAAACAAGAAUAACUUUUCUUUCACAUUAAAAUUCUAAGGGGACGGAAACAAGUGACAACAACAACAACAACAAUAACAAUAAUAAUAUUAAUAAUAAUAUCAACAACAACAACAAUAAUAAUAGUGAUGGUUUCAAAUUUUGGCACAAGGCCAGCAAUUUUAGGGAAUUGGUAAGUCGAUUACAUUGACCCUAGUGUGCAGCUGGUACUUAUUUUACCGCCACCCCCCAAAGGGAAGGGAUGGAAUAAUAGUUUCUAGGAUAGGUCCAAGGCUUGGCUUGUUAUUCAAUUGCAUUGUGUUUUAAGACCUGUUGUAAUAGUUUAAAUUCUGUCGACAUUUCAAGGGAGUCGGGGGUGGAGGGGUGGAGUGGAGGGACGAAGAGUUGAUCUCGACUGGGUUUGAACACAGAACAUAAGAAAACAAACGACCCCCCUCCCAGAAAUAAAUAAAUAAAUAAAUAAAUAAACAAAUAACCGAUUCAAAAAAAGUAAAAUUGAAAGGAGAAAGAGAGAGAUACAGAGAGAGAGAGAGAGAGAGAGAGAGAGAGAGAGAGAGAGAGAGAGAGAGCGGGGAAUGACGGAGGAAAGAAGAAACAAAUGAAAAUCAUGAUAAAUACAAGACCAACCACUACUACUACAACUACUACUACUACUACUACUACUACUACUACUACUACUACUAAGACUAAUAUUUCUGGUGCUGCUGUUAUUGCUCUCUGGAGUUAUCAUCCCAUCGAAAAAACAAAAAAGAAACAAAAAAAAAACAACGAAAGAAGGAAAAGGAAAAUUCUCCUACCGUUAUGCCAAUUCGAACAUGCGUACCACUGGAUUACAUUUGAUGCAAACCGGUUUAUCAAUCAUUUUAUCUCGUCAGCACGAAACUUCCGUGUUUAACUACUUCUAUUGCCUUGCUAGUGGAAAUCAGAGCUUUAUCUCAUUCGCUGUUGCUCGACAUGAUGUCUCAGCGCGUAACGCACAAACAAGCUUCUCUCCUGUUGACCUCAAACUUAAAAUGGACACCACCAGGAGCUCAAAUCGUAUUCUUUGCCGAACAAUGACACCCAUAACCUGUGUAAGAUAUUAUAUAUUUUGUUUAUCUUAAUAACAUUAAAGUUUUCCAACACA